UGAGUAUGUGAGGAAAUUCCUAGUAUGUCAACAUCCUGUACAUUUUGACUCUGGAGAGAACAUGUAGAGUGGACAUCCCCUGCAUGUUAUGUAGGUAUGAUGUGUUGGUUAUCUAGCAAUGUCUAGCUUUCCAACUUGAAAUAUCUGUCAUAGAUUCUUACUAUUUGUGCCCAGUAUGGAAUGUUGUGACUAUUUUCUAACACUUAAUGGGCCCAGUCCUAUAUCGUAAGUAACACUGUAGUAAAUUAUCUUUCCCUCUUUUUCAGUUAAUAAUAAACUAAAUAUCGAAAGAUUCAUUUCAUGUAGAGUAUCUAGAAAUGCACCACAGAGUAUGAAAGGGAAGUAACUGCAAACUUGGCCAACAGACCUUUGGGUAGUUGCUUUACAUUGUUUUUGAGGAAGUGCAGAGAAAACCGCUUGAAAGACAAUCUGGUUGACAGUGUUGAGGAGACUCGGCUCAAAAUAAAAGGAGAAAAGAAUAAAUUCUAGCCACAUUGGAAUUGGCAGUCGCAGACACUUGGAAACUCCCUGAAGUAGGCCAACCACUUCUUGAUCUUGACAGAUCAAAGAUUUCCUGUGAGAAAAGUAGUCUUGUACAAUUCUCACAGCCAUUUCAUUUUCGUCAGUGCGAGUCAUUUUGAUAAGAAUGGCAGAUGUGGAUCCCGAUCCUCGUCCUGCACCAGCAGCCAUGCAGGCCAGUGCAGACGAAGAUAAGCUCUUGUCCUCACCUUCACCUUGUAGUGAGGGGCAGCAGAUGGAGAGGCCUCCACCCUACUCUCGCUACAACCCUCCCCAUGUGCCCUACUGUCCUCAGGAUCCGGGCCUCGAAUCUCAGCAUCAAUGUAGCUCAGUGGGACUCCAAGUAACUGCAGUGUAUCAGGGUUACUGCCUUCAAGUGUCAGGUUUUGAAGACAAAUCCAUUCGGCUGGCUUUUAUUAGAAAGGU
ensembl:lncRNA